GACGAACGCUGGCGGCGUGCCUAAUACAUGCAAGUCAACUGAAGCAGCUGUAGCAAUACGGCUGUGGAGGUGGCGCACGGGUGAGUAACACGUAGGUAAUCUGCCUUCAGGACUGACACAACUCCGAGAAAUCGGAGCUAAUAUCAGAUUAUGCAGCGGCUUGGCAUCAAGACAGUUGUUAAAGCGCCGAGCAAUCGGUUAGCGCCUGAAGAUGAGCCUGCGCCCCAUUAGGUAGUUGGCGGAGUAAUGGCCCACCAAGGCUACGAUCAGUAACUGGUCUGAGAGGAUGAUCAGCCACACUGGAACUGAGAUACGGUCCAGACUCCUACGGGUGCAG
rnacentral:rRNA from 1 species